rnacentral:rRNA from 1 species
GACGAACGCUGGCGGCGUGCUUAACACAUGCAAGUCGAACGGAAAGGCCCUGCUUUUGUGGGGUGCUCGAGUGGCGAACGGGUGAGUAACACGUGAGUAACCUGCCCUUGACUUUGGGAUAACUUCAGGAAACUGGGGCUAAUACCGGAUAGGAGCUCCUGCUGCAUGGUGGGGGUUGGAAAGUUUCGGCGGUGGGGGAUGGACUCGCGGCUUAUCAGCUUGUUGGUGGGGUAGUGGCUUACCAAGGCUUUGACGGGUAGCCGGCCUGAGAGGGUGACCGGCCACCUUGGGACUGAGAGACGGCCCAGACUCCUACGGGAGGCAGCAGGGGGGAGUAUUGCACAAUGGGCGGAAGCCUGAUGCAGCAACGCCGCGUGCGGGAUGCCGGCCUUCGGGUUGUAAACCGCUUUCGCCUGUGACGAAGCGUGAGUGACGGUAAUGGGUAAAGAAGCACCGGCUAACUACGUG